rnacentral:lncRNA from 1 species
UAGCAAAGAUCUACUACCUCAAAACUUGCAUUAAUAGAAAAAGAUAGAAACAAAAAGAGGAGGGAGACUAUACCAAAACCUGCUUACAUAUUAAUAAAUCUAUAAUUGGGUCUACCAAGUCUAUCCAUAUUAAAACUACCUCUGAUAUCUUGAGGGAUACUAUUCCACAGUUGUGGCUACUCUAGACUUAAUCCAAUAUUUGCAAGGCCAUCAGCACAUUUGAUAUCUUCUCUAUAAAUGUGGGAUAUCAUGAAGUUCAUGGAAGCAACGAUUUGAAUACAAUUAUGUCAUUUGUUCCUUAGUCUCCAAGGAACUAAAGAGGUUGCUUUGAAAGCCAACACAACCAAAGUGGAGUCAGUUUCAAGCCAAAGAUUACUUCAAUUGUUGUCCGCAGCUAUUUCAACAGCUUUCAUAGCCCCACACAAUUCAGCAAAAUAAGUUGUGUUUAACCCUGUGUUUUCAGCAAAGCAACAGAGAAGUUCUGCAUUGUGGUUCCUAAAAAUGCCUCCACAUGCUAACGAAGUAAGUGUUGAAGCACCAUCGGAGUUGCAUUUUACCAAGGUAACAUAAGGAGGCCUCCAAAUUACUUCCUUAAUAUCAGGGGCUUUAGGAGGGUGAAUACUGAUAUUAAAUUGCUUUGAAAUUAACGAUUCUUUGGUUUGUGAUUGUGAGUCGUUGUUGAAGUUGAUGUCAUCAUUGAAGAAAUUAACGAAAUCUUCUAUUUUCCGAGAGAAAUUAGAGAAGGAAUUUUGAGGGAAGCAUAGAAGGUUUUGAUUUUGGUUUUGGAGGAGAGGAGAAUCAAAAUUCAUUUUUGGAUGCACUUAUUAGUACUUGGAGUUUUCUAUAUAUGCCUAAUAUUUUUCUUUCCUUUUAUAGUCAAACAACUAAUUGUGGUUGUGAGUGAGAGUAAGUAUUGAAGUUUGAAUGAAGAUAUUUGGGGACUUGGCUUAUUUAUAUACUCAUCUAUAAUCUAUAAUCUAUAAUAUGUAAAAAGCCAGGCUUAUUUGCCUUUCUCUCUCCUCUCCUCAUUCAACCUCAUUCCUCACAUUUAUUUCCCUUAUGUGAUAUUAAUUCAUAUUUUACGUUAUAUAUUUCUCAUUCCAAAUGUGAUAUGUGAUAUUCAUUUAUUUCCCUUUUGUAAGAAGAGGACNNNNNNNNNNNNNNNGUUUACUAUUAUUAAGGAUCGCAUCAAUUUUGACUAAUAAUAUUAAUGAUAGUUUUUGUAUAUAUGGUAAUUAAAAUAAUGAGUAAACCAUUCAAGUUGGUCAAACUAUCAUUAAUCUCUCCAAUUCCGUCUAUGGUAUUAGUAUUACUAUUUUACUAUUAUUAUUAUUAUAGUAGGAUUUUAUUUUUUGACAAAUAUUAAAGAUUUAAUUGACUAGCAAACACUAAAUAAAAAAAUUAUGAGUUUAUGAUGAUGCAUGUUUUGGUUGUUAUUGUCACGCAGCCUUGAUAUAUGGUACUUUAUGGCAUUAAUUCGCUUCGCUAGACAUCUGGAGAAUGCAGAAGUUUUGGUUGAUGCAUUAAACCAUUCACGAAUUAUUUUUGUAAAGUCCAAUCCAUUUGCAGGUCUCAACUGAUUUGAUCCUUAUCCAAGUGAUCUGCAAGAAUGAACAUUAUUGGCCUCAUCUAUACUCAUUGGUAAAGCAAUAUCCUUAGAUAAUUAAGUGUAAUGAAUGGGAUUGAUAGAGAAAUUUGGUAACAAUAUCGACAUUUACUAACAAAUCAGAAAAUAGGGUAUGCAUUUAUACUCAUCUGAUUCGGUUUUAUUAUAUGAUCAUGAUCGAAUCAGAAUUCAUUAAGUCACAUUUUAUAUAUGCAUUAAUAUCAUUCCAUGUGUUUCUUAUCAAAAAUCAGAAACUAAAAGAGAGAAUUUGAGUGACUUAAUUAUACUGAAAAGGGUAUUAUAAAAUACCAUUCAAGUUGGUCAAACAAUAUCAAUCUCUCCAAUUCCGUUCGUGAACCAAAUAAAAAACAAAGCACGGGGAAAAAUAAGGUAAACAAGGUAACUAUAGUACACAUUUUAAUUUUAUACAAUAUUCAGCCUAAAAAAAUUUACGUACACAUUUUUUUUUUACAAUAUUCAAUAAUUUCCUUCGUAAACUGAUUUAUAUCACACAAAUCCCGAUCCUAAAAAUUAGGCAAUAAGUUAUGCAGACACUAGAAUUGCUCAACCCUUAAUUCUAUUUAAACGUGAAGACUUAACAAACAUUCUANNNNNNNNNNNNNNNNNNNNNNNNNNNNUUAUUUUUUUCUUCAGCUUGCUACUAUUUUUUUUUUUUUUUUCAUUUUCCUAUUUCCAAUGGCACCAAAACACGAUGCAAUUUCUGAAAUCACACCUGCUAAAGAGAAUUGGAACAUAAUCGUCAGAGUCGUCCGUCUUUGGUAUGUCAAAGAUAUGGCGAAAGACAAACUGCCAUUCUCAAUGGAGAUGGUGCUCAUGGAUGCUAAAGUAAUUAUAUUAUUAUUAAUUUUACAAAUUAUUGAUGUUUAUUUAUUAAUAUUAUUAUAUAUAUAUUUUUUACGGUANNNNNNNNNNNNNNNNNNNNNNNNAUACAAUUUUGAUUAUUAUAUAUAUGUAUGUUGUGAUAGUGUUUGUCAGUCAGAUUCAAAUUCAGAAAUUCAGCCUGACUGGUUUACUCUAGAAUUUUUGAACGACAUCAAGUGUUCAGAAAUUCCUAAUCACAAGUUAAAACUAAAAGUCGAUUGUCCUGCAAUGCUUAUGAGGAACAUUGAUCAAGCAGCUGGUUUGUGUAAUGGCACUAGGCUAACUAUAACUGAGUUGGGGAAUAAAUUUAUUGGUGUAAUAGUAAUUACAUGAAAAAAUGCAGGAGACAAGAUAUUUGUGUCAAUGUUGAAUUUGAUCCCUAGCGAUCCUGGACUACCAUUUAAAUUUAGGCGCAAACAAUUCCCACUGACUCUUUGUCUAGCAAUGACUAUAAACAAAAGUCAAGGUCAAUCGCUAUCACAGGUUGGUAUAUAUCUUCCUAAGCCAGUAUUUACUCACGGCCAGCUAUAUGUCGCAUUAUCAAGAGUCAAAUCUAGAAAGGGUCUGAAGUUGCUCAUACUCAAUGAAGAAGGUGUAGUCUGCACUACCACUACAAAUGUUGUUUAUCGUGAGGUUUUUGAUAAUGUUUAGUUUACACUCAUCUUCAUUUAAUUUAGGCCAAUAGACUUAUAAUUAUGUGAUAUUUAUCGUCAUAUUUUUNNNNNNNNNNNNNNNUUAAUUUGUUUGUUAACGAUUUCAUUCAUGUUUUCAAUUAAUAAGACAUUAUAAUCCCCGCUAAUGUUUUUCCACCUCAUGUGCUUCAAAGUUUAGACUAAUACAAAUACUACUCAACAUCCUAAGUUUUCAAUUAACACUAUGUUGUAUAUAAACUCAUGAUCGCAGCAUCAAACCACACGAGCAUGCCUUUUAUGACAUAGUGUUAAGUCAAUGUUGUAAUGACAACCAUGGCAAAUUUCGGCACUUAUUAGUUAAUCAAGAUUAACUUCCUAAACCAAAAUCAUAGAAAUCAAUACCUUCUUUUUACGGUAUUCAGGUGCUACUGCUGAUGCGACUGCACCUCAGACUGCUAAUAAACAUCCCAAAUCCGUGAUUAUCUAAUCUGCCAAAAUAUUGCUCAUCUUAUCUGCAUAUAAAUUAACCAAGAAAAUAACACAUAAAUGUGAGAUGNNNNNNNNNNNNNNNNNNNNNNNNNNNNNNAUAUGGUUAAUGAUACAUUUGAUUUCUCUAUUUGACAUCUAAAUAUGUAAAUUCCAGCUUGGUCGGAUAAACGUUCAGAAAUUGAUUUAGUGGUCGAUUUGAUUUCAAAUGCACAGUACCACAUAUUACCGUGUGACUCGAUGCAUUUGACAGUGGAUGAGAGUUCCGCCGGGAAGGAAUUCGAACGUUUUUCAUUUUCCUCUCUUCAUCUCCUCACUGCCGGCGCCGUUGGCACCGCACCUUCUUUCCCAGAAUCUGUCCUCCCCAUUCUAAUGGUUAUACUUUUGCAACCCAAGAUGCAGUAUAGAGAAAAUUGAAUGAAAAAGAUGAAGAACUUCAUAAUUGCUAAGUGCAACCCAUGAAUUACUUACGUCCAGAUGUAUCACAUAAUACAAUAUCAUAACCUUCCUGUUUUCCUCUUUUUACAGUCUGUGAAAGCACUGCAAAUAAUAUAGAAUUUACAAAAUUUAGUAUCCAAACCGUAUAUAACGUAAGGUUAUGAUAAAGAAACUAAAUCAGGCUGUAAAAUACAUCGAGUCUUGGUUAUUCAAUCAUUUUCGUGAGUUCUCCACACAGAAAGAUUGGUAGUACAUAUCAAUAUUAAAUUGUUCAAUUAUAAAGUACGUGACUUCAUUCCAAUUAAAGACUAGCUAGCAUUAUUCUUUAUAUUUAUUUUGACAAUAGCAUUAUUUUGACAAUAUCAUUAUUGUUUAUUUUAGGAUAAUCACCAAACCGUAUAUAUAACAAUAAUAAUAAGGAUAAUCACCAAAUAUUAUCUAAUUGAAGAUUCUGGGAAACUCAAAAAGUAAUGAACAGUCGGCUUGGAGUAAAAGCUAAUUCUAUUUGUACCUACUGAUGCCUUCGCUUUCUCAGUUUCAGCCAUAACAAUCUCACACCCAGUCCUUUCAGCCCAUAUUUCUAGCUGAUCACUAGCAGCUGCUCUGAAUGUAUCACCAGCUGCCAACAAUAUCUGUUGAAUUUUGAUAUGACCAAAAAAACAUGUGACCCAUAAAUAAGUGAUAAAAUAAAAUCUUGAGGAAUUAAGCAUCAUAAUACUUCAUACAGUACAAAACAUGCCCAAACUUGGGGUUAAUUUUAAAUAUUUAAAAAAUUGAAUUACUUACCCUUUUUCCUAUCUCUAGGUUCAAUUGAUUUUUAAGGGCUGAGUUUAAAUGGUAUUUUGGGUUNNNNNNNNNNNNNNNNNNNNNNNNNNNNNNNNNNNNNNNNNNNNNNNNNNNNNNNNNNNNNNNNNNNNNNNNNNNNNNNNNNNNNNNNNNNNNNNNNNNNNNNNNNNNNNNNNNNNNNNNNNNNNNNNNNNNNNNNNNNNNNNNNNNNNNNNNNNNNNNNNNNNNNNNNNNNNNNNNNNNNNNNNNNNNNNNNNNNNNNNNNNNNNNNNNNNNNNNNNNNNNNNNNNNNNUAUUGGAGAUAUAUAUAUUAUUGUAACUAAUAUAAUGAUUUUUAGUUUUCGACACAAUUUAUUUAGAAACUUUUAACUUCUACCUGGUGACUUAAUCGUAAAUGUAUUGAUUUGAUUUUUAUUUUUUUUAACAAAUUUAUUGAUUUGAUUUUAAAACACAAGUUUUACCAAUUUUCAGUUGGUUCAGUGGUGAUUGGCGCUGAAUUUGGUAGGGACGACUGUGGUUCAAUCCCCGCAACUGCGAUCCGGAGGAGGCUGAAAUCUCUUGAUGUCAGAACUGACCCCGAACCAGAUUAAACUGGUGGUGAAAAACAAAAAAAAAAAAACAAACAAACUUUGUCAACUAAAAAUAAUAAUCAAUAUAGUUGAUUAUUACUGACUCGUCCUUAAAUAUAUGAUUCUUUUGAGAAAUUUAAAUAUCUUAACUAAAAUUAAUAUUUAUUAUAUUCUUUUUUAAUUAGAUUAUAUUAUCAUUUAAAAACUAUAGUCAAAACACAAAUAUAUAAUUCCUCCGGUCACAUAGGCAUUUCAAAUUUUACUACAUGUGUAGUGAACAAAUUCCAGUGUCUUAAAAAAAAAUUAAAAUUUUAGUCACUAUUAUAAGUAAAAGUUAAGUAAGUGCGAUUUAUAUUGAACAUAUUGAUUUAUGCAUGUUAAAUUUAUAUUAUUUUUUUAUUUUUUAUUUUUAAAUUUAAAAUAUAUUAAAAUGUUUUUUUUUUGUCAUAUUUUUCCCGUGCUUGGCACGGGUCCGGAUACUAGUUGAAUCGAAGAGGAAACAAAAGGACCGAAUAGAUUGAGGGAGGGAUGAUUCAUUUCAAUUAAAAAAUAAUAAUAUAUAGUACUAAAAUUUGGCUGUGGUUAAAAGUAAGGCCAUAGAGGAUGUCUUUGAAUAUUUUUAUCAUCUUGCAUUAAAGAUUGGACCUAUAACACCUAAAUUAAAAUCUCUAGUAGUAUAUAGUGUAGUGCAGGUGCAAAUGUUGGACAGUGAAGUUUUACCAGAUUGAAUCGGUAUAUUAUGUAUUCACUUUGACAAGCAUUAACGAGUAAUUGACAAUUACAAUUGUUUUGAACUCUUUGACAUCAUUGUGAAAAAAAUAGUGGAACCGUUUCGUAUUCAAGCACAAUCUCUCAAGGGAUAUGAUGGAGAUAAUGGCUGUGAAUGCCAAAGAGGUGUUGACUAUUGGUGGGAUGGAAGAAGUUAGAACAACAGUUUUUGAGUUAACAUUUUAAUAACAGGGUAAGUUAUUUUCAAAGAGGGGGUGACGUUGAUCAACGAGGGAGCAAGUGUUCAAAAUACAUACAUGGCCGAUCAAAGAUGUGUGUUUUGAUAUUUUUAAACAUGCGAAAAUUUCUGCGAAGAAAGAAGUAUAAAUGAACUUCUUGAUUGACUCACAAGAUGAGAGAUCGACACUUCAACCUGCGAAUAUGUUGGUGUAUGAUUAGGUAGGCGAAAAACAUGUUUGUAUAGAUUUAACAGAAAAUUUUCCACCUGUAUAAUUAAAAAUUGAAGAUUUUAGUGUGGGAUGGACAACCUCACCUAAUUCCAAUUAUUUCAAAAAAAUUAAUCUCAACUCCUAAAUUUUGUCCACCGAAGAACACGUUAAAAUGAGCAAGUCUGUUCCUCAAUAAAUAUCGAUUGUUUAUUUCCCACUCACAAUCACAAUCACAAUCACAAUCACAAUCACAAUCCUUGCCUCCUCCUUUACUCCCUCUUCUCAACUCCACCCCAUUUCUUCGGCGCUCAACAACCAAAUCUCCUUUCUCUGCACGUUCACUUCAGGUAUUUUCUUCCUCUCAUUUUUUCAUCUUCAAUCUCUCCAUUUCCAUAUAUCGUUAUUAGAUCUAACACAUUCUCGCUCUUUCCUUUCGAUUCCGUUCGUUUUCUUAGAUCUUUGCGUUUCAAUUACACAUACAUCAUCGAUAUUCAUUCAUUCAUUCAUUGUUAGUUAUUCAUAAAUUAUUCCUCUGAUUUUGAUAAUCUUAGAUCAAUAUUGCACGAUCCUUAUUUGAUUAAUUAAAACAUAUUAUUUUUUUAAUCUUAGAUCAAUACUGCGAAUGUGUCACAAAGUGCUCCAGUACUCUAUUAGUGUAUCAAUACUGGAGAUUGGAGAAGCAAUGUGCCAUAGACUUGUUCGUCAUUUCUUCCUUAGUCUGAACCAAUGUUCUUCACUUCAUUCAGCUUCUUCUUCACUGCAAAAGCUUGAACAGACUGUUAGAGCUGAAGUAGAAGCCAAAAACUAUGUUAAAAUUCCUGAUAUCAUUUCCACUGUGUUGUCUCGAUCCCAAAAUUCAAAUCCUUUCUUUUUUUUUUAUCGUCUUUUCCGCAGAACUUACAAGUGCAAAUUGUUGAUGAAAUGAUGCAAUCUUUUAUAUCCAUCAGACCACGCUAUAAGCCCCGGCUAACCUAUUCCUACCUUCUUUCCUACACCCUCCAAAGUUCUCACCCCCUUCCUCUUGCACUCGCUAUCCUACAACGGACUCUACGUUCUGGUUGCUUACCAAUUCCUCAGACUCAUGUUCUCCUCUCAUCUGCUUGGUUGGACCGGCGAUGUCUGUCGCAUUCUGUGGCUAAUAUUUUUCUCGAGAUGCAAUCAAUUGGAUAUCAUCCUGACUGUGGUACUUGUAAUUAUCUACUAUCAUCUCUUUGUGCUGUUGAUCAGUUAGUGGAGGCAGUUAAUGUGUUGAAGGGUAUGGGUGGAGCAGGAUGUAUUCCCGAUUCAAAUAGUUACGACAUUGUAAUUGGUGCAAUGUGCAAAGCUCGAAGGACUUCUGACGCUCAAGAUUUAAUGAAGCAAAUGGUGGAGAAAUAUGGUUUGACCCCAGACCAUGGAACAGUGGUGAAAUUCUUGACAGCAUUACGGACAAACAAGGAGAUAUGGAAAGCUGUUGAGGUGAUUGAGUUNNNNNNNNNNNNNNNNNNNNNNNNNNNNNNNNNNNNNNNNNNNNNNNNNNNNNNNNNNNNNNNNNNNNNNNNNNNNNNNNNCGAGACGUGAGUAUGUUUUGGCUGCAAAGGUUGUUAUGGGGAUGACAGAAAGAGGUUUUAUACCGUAUAUCAAGGUGAGGCUGAAGAUAAUUGAAGGUUUGGCGAGCAUCGAUGAGUGGAAGAUAGCUUGUGCUGUGAGGGAAAGAUUUGCAAAACUUAAAUCUUAGCUGUUAAGUUAUUUAUAGUGAGCCUAGUUCGGUUCUUAAAGCUGAAGCUGAGAGUUGCAGCUCUUGGAUCUCAGAUUUGCCAAUCAAUUGGAGGUAUGAUCUCUUAAAUUAAAGCUUGGAAAAGAAGUGAGCAUAUACAGGAACAGGUUUUAUCGAGUUGUAGAAUUAAAGUUCCUUAGGCUGACUUUGAUUGUUGUAUUAUAUUAAAAUUAAAAUAAUUCAGCUGUAUAGUAUAUUUCGACACAAGAAAAUGGAGUAACUUUAUGUGUAUUAGUUAAACACCCUCCCCAAAAGGAAACAGUCUAAUAAUAUCAAUUGCACAGAUUAUAAUGUGGUCAGAAAUUUCAUGUAAUUUAUGCUUUAUUGUUCCAGUUUCCAGUCAUCUUUCUGUUUCUAGGGAAUGAUCAUUGCCAUUGCAUGAUUUCUGUAUAGCAUGCUAACCUUAUAAUCGACUUCGCUUUAUUUGGUUGAAUAUUUUAUUUUAUUUUUUGAAUAAUUUAUUUGGCUGAAAUCCAUAUACUUGACACAUAGAAACAGAAAAAUGAUCACUGUAGAUUGUAGUUAGCUAUGCCACGUCGGAUUGAAAAUUGGUGGGCCAUGCUCUUCUAUUUUUGCAAGUUUAUAUCUUUUCUUUCUUAUUUUUUUUUUCUGCCGCUAGAGGAAGCUAUGUAUCCAUACACCGGCGGUUGCUAGAUUCCGACUCAGAAGAUUCAAUGAAUCUGGUCUUUUUGUAUCGUUUUUUUAUUGAUUAGUCUGAUGGGUUCAUCUGGUGUAGUUUCAUAUGGUGGAGGUCGAAUUGCAUGUUCUUAUUUUCCCCCCUAAUCAAGUUUAGAAUCGUUUUGAAUUUUGAAUUAUGUAUAAUUUUCCCUCCUGGUUGAAUUUCCUCUGAUCCACUUGUCUAUAAAUUGGGGAUGGGUAAGAGUUGCAAUGCACAAAUUGAGACCAACAGAGUAUAGUUAGGGUUUUAGAGAGGUUAGUGAUUUUUACAAUUCUAUCUUAUAUCUUUGGUUGUAAUUUCAUUGAUGGUUGGUUAUAUCUUUAUUUACACAUGUAUUCUGCAUAUUCUGAUUUGUUGAUUAUUGUUCAUAGAUGGUUAUACCUUUAUUGAUUGUUGCUGAAGAUGUGGAAAGUGAUGCCCUUGCAAUUCUUAUCCUAAAUUAGCUUCGCGCUGGAAUCAAGGUUUGUUUUCCCUAUCUGUAGCAUAUUAGUUCUAAGGUACUUUAAAAUUUUGGAUUCUUAGUUUUGCUUAUUUGAUUUGGUAUUUGUUGCAUGGUCUUACUCUUAGGUAUGUGCAGUUGGGUUUUGGUAACAAUUUUGCUUAUUGAUAAUUUUAAUGCACGGUUGGGUUUUGGUACUCUUUAUUGGUUACUGUUCAUGAAUUUUUGGUUUUGGUAAAGGAUGCAGACUUUCCUUGAGUUAUUUGGAUUAGCUAAAAUUAAUUUUUCACUAAUUCCUCAACAUGUUUAGCAUUAUAAUAUGAGAAUACAAGGUCAAAUAAUGUAGACAACCUAAACUAAGUUUCUUAAUCUUUUAGAUUACAAUUUCCAAAGAUGACACUGUCAUUCUUGACGGUGCCGGUGAUAANNNNNNNNNNNNNNNNNNNNNNNNNNNNNNNNNNNNNNNNNNNNNNNNNNNNNNNNNNNNNNNNNNNNNNNNNNNNNUUUUACCAUUUUCAUAUAGAAAUAGGUCUGGUUUUUCAUUGAUGUUUCUUAUGAAGUGUUUCAUGUGAUGGGUUUUGUUUACAGAUUAGGUCGGCGGUUGAAAAUAGUACUUCAGAUUAUGACAAGGAGAAAUUGCAGGAAAGAUUGGCCAAGCUUUCUGGUGGUGCUAGGGAUGGUAAGAUUACUAAAAUGGUCGUCGUUGAGCUUACUGAUCAUAGGUAAAUGUUAUUUAUAUUUAUAGUGUAAUCAUCGCAAAUUUUAUUUUGCAGUAUUAUAAUUGUUUUGUUUAAUUUUGGUCAUAGUUAUGAUAAACAGUGGUAAGUGUGAAUGUGCUUUGUUUGGUGAUUAGGUUGACGAGUUGAACAAGAAAAUGGGGAAAACUUGCAAAAUUUAAAUUUUUUAGAGAUAAUGUAUUAUUAUAUUUGAAUUAGUAACUUCUCAAAUUUUCCACUGAUUGAAUUAGUUGUGUCCAGACAAAGCAUCCAUCCAAAAUGUCAUUAACACUACAAGGAUAUUGAUUAAUCCAGAUAUACCUGAGGUCGAAGCAUUCAAGAACAUGUUUGUUUCAUUUCUAAUAAAUUAUUGAUGUUUUUGUUGAGUGAUCGUGUAGUUGUGUUUGUCUUUGAUAAAGAUGUUCAGAAUUUGGCUGUGGAGACUUGUCCUCUUUUGUUAUCAAUGGUGGGUUGUGAAAUCUUUAUUUUUCUGGUUAUAGCUGUUCAUAUUUAAAGACAUUGUAUAAUGUGUUUUGCAGGGAGAGAGCUCUUCCUUAUAUCCAGAUGAGAUGGAGUGCUUUUACGGUGAUGCAACGAAGUUGGUGUUGUGAACAUGUUCUUUGACGAGUUUAUCCCAAAUGUUGAUAACUUUGUUGGUAUCUUGAAUCUCUAAUUUAAAUCUGUUGUGUAUUGUUUCAUCGUUUGAUUUAUCUGCUGAUUAUGGUAUACUCAAACAGAUUGAAACUCCAAAUUAUGAGUCUAUCAAAGAGGAGUUGAGUGAAGGCCAAAUUCUUUAUUAUUCUUUCUUUUUUUUUUUGGGUCAAGAAAUUCUUUAUUAUUCUUCCUGUGAAUCUAAAGAACCUGCUGAUGGUGAUGUUGAUUCAGGUCUGUCUUCCUAAUUUGUUGAUGGACGAGUGCGUAAAAAUGUAUUGUAUUUUUUAUAUUAGUUUGUAUCAUUAAUUUGUUUGAGUUAAUAAAUAUCAAUUUAUGUCUUAUUUAUUUUUAUGCAGGUGUCAUUUGCAAACCAAGUGGACAAUGGAGAUAAGAGUAGAACUCCAUUUCCAGGUCAUUCUUGCUUCCAACGUGAAAGAAGAAACUCAAAGAAUGGCAUGUCAACCUAUAUUGAGAAGUUUGUUUAUUCUAGGAGGAAAACCUGUGUUAAAAGAAAGCUUAGGUUUAGGUUUGAUGAUAAUGGUGAAGAUGCUAUGAACAAGAGCAAAAAAAAAACAUAUUUUAGUGAAAAUAAAUUUGUUAAGGAAGGAGUGUGAGAAGAAAAAAGAACUAUCACAUGAAAGUUGAGCAUUUUAAACCUCAAUUGCAUGGCCUAUAGUUUGGAUUAUACGCUGGUACACUCAACUUCAAAUGAUCUCCAAUGCAGGAGGCAUUUGUAUAUGAUACAGGCAGCAAUUGGUCUAUUCCCAGCAAAGCCUAGAUGUUUUGCAAUACAUCUAAUGAGCAACUCUUGGUUCUCCUGUUGUUUCUUAUUCAGUGACUUCUGUGGUUUAUCCUCCACCUCAGCGGAUUCCCUUUCCCUUUGGUUCAUUGAUGAGCUAUGGCAUAUGUAGUGUUCUCAUCUAUGUCAUAUAGCUAAGUUAGAAUUUGGUUUAAGUUAAUUGGAAGAAAUGUAAUUUAUUUCCAGGGUGCUAUUGAAUGGAGUCAUGUUAUUGAAGUUGUUUGAAGACGAUAACAUUCUUGAAAAUGCAAUUGAUGGAAAGCAAAAUAACAGUGAGUUUUUUUGAAAAACUAAAUUGUGUUUAUAUGAUAUCAAUUCCAUCACCUAUCUAUAGAAUUUAUAGCCCUUAUGUGCAGGAGUACUUUGACUAAGAGUUGAAAUUGAGCAUUUAAUUUCUUAUUCAAUUUAGUGGUAUGCCCUGCACAAUAAAUAUUACUACUUUAAGUAGUUACUGGAAACUGUUUGUUUGGUGUUGCCCCAAAGAAUAAAAAUCAUCAAAUAUGUUUUAAAACUAUAAUGACUGUAAUUAAAAAACUAAAGUAGGAAAACUAGUGAUAACACAUGUUUAACGUUGCAAUCACAAAAAAUUUACAAGAGUGGUACUAAAUUAAGUGUAAAAAAAACUUAAUUUAGCCAAAUUCAUUAUUUCUUAAUUCAUAUGUCUAAUUCUAAAAGAACGGGAGCGGAGAGAGUACUAAUUACUUUUGUCGGCAAAAAUAAGUAUUAAAUGUUUAUAUAAAUAUUAUAUAAGUUUAAUAUUGUGAUAUUUUUUUUUUGAAGAACUUUAAUAUUGUGAUAUUUCAGGUGUGAAUUAAAAGUUUCGUAUUAAAUAAAAAAGUUGAGGGUUAAACUCCAUCUUAAUUAAAGUUUUGGACGAAGAUGUGACUCAAAGAGUCUCUUGAUCUCUUUUUAUCUAAUCCACUAUUGGUCAUGAAAAGUCAGAGACUAGAAAGAUAGAUGUUAAAAGUAUCUCAACUGCAGGGUCAGUUCAACACUAAAUGAGGUCUAAAACAAAUUUUAAAGUGAGGUCUUUUGAAACAAAAUUAUUUUUUUAUAUCAUCAUAAUAAAUUUUAUUUAACAUUAAUUUCUUUUUCAAUACAUUUUUUUGUUAGAACUUUUUCAAUACAUUUAAUAUUUGUUGAGAUGUUGAUGAAUUCUUUAGAAGUUACAAAGUUGUUGUCUCAUUUUUAUCACGGGACCACUAAUCUUAUAGACCUUUUUGUUUUUCUCAGUAGGUUUUUUUUUUUCUACUCUAAACAAAUGAGCUUAUGACUUAUGAGGUAUUUUUUUUCUUAGUAUAUAUUUUUAAAAUAUUUUGGGAGUUUAAAACUCUUGCUUGAGUUACCUUACCUUUGGGCCAUCCCUGCUCAAGUGGCAAAUAAGAAUCUAUAAAUUUAAUAUCAUAAAGUUUUAAGUAAAAAUAUGCAGUAGAAUAUACAAUGCUCAAACUUACCUUUUUUUUAAUUUAGGGUUAAGUAGUUUAGUGGUUAGAAAUUUCACCCUUAAGGUAAAAAGUGGGAUGACCAGAGUUCGAACAUCGACCCAUGCAUAUAUAAUAUAAUGUCAUACUAACUGAAUUAAGCUCACAGAACUCAAACUUAUUUAUUUAGUUGCUAUUCAUGUAAUAUAUUUCUACCGAACACAAUGAUCUAUUUGGGAAAUCCAAACAUUUUUAAUACACACACAACUAAGCGACUUACAACAAAGUUACAGCAAAAUGAAGAAACCAAAUAACGUGAUUCAACAGUUAUUUACAAUUAUGAACGCACAUUAAAUUUAUUCUGAAGGAUCCAAUCUAGUACCACAUUUUUUGGUACUAAAAAACGUAGGAUCUCAUGUUAAUUUAUAAGUGCAUCGACCAUGCAAAUAUGCCUUUUGCAAAGGUUAAUUUAAUAAAAUGUUUUCGCAGAUUGGGGAAGAAAUUUCAUCCCCAUCUCCAAAUUUUCUUUCGAGGACUUUUCCCUCCAUCUUCAUCCCUGCAGAAUUUUUGUUUUACCAUUUUUUAGUCCCCAAUCAAAAUAGUUCCCACAAAAAUUCUCAUUUAUAGAUCAAAUUAACAUUUCUACUUUUGUGAAAUAAAUCUUGGUGAACAUAAAUUAUGUGGGGACUAUGUAAAUGAAGAUGACUACGUAUGAAUUUUGGGGCAUGUCAAUAUGCUUAUCUGUAAAAGAGAAAAUAUAUUUGUUAUAUUGAUCAGUUUAUACUUUAUAAUAUAUUAUAGUAGUAGAGUAGUAAACAAUAUUAUAUUAUUACCUAAACAAAAUAAUAGGAAAAUAUUUAAGAGUCUCAUUACAUAUAAGACAAAUGAUUCCGGUAUACUAAUACUUUUACUUUAUUUUUACAUGAUAAAUUAUGAUUUUGUUUGGUUUCUUAUAUAUGUUCCAUAUCAACUAAAAAGAUAUCUAGUCAUGUCGUGGCAUCGAAUAUGAGUAUGAUUUAAAUCUUGGUCAAGAUUAAUAUUUAUGUUAAUUACAAAAUAUUAUGUGGACUGAAAUAUAAGUAAUAUGUAUAAAAAAAAAGAAAAGAAAUAUAACUUAAUAUAUAUCAUUUUGGCUUCUUAAAAAAAAAAAGUAAUAUACUUUUUUUUUUAAGAUAAAAGUAAUAUACAAAUAUCUUUCUUGUCUAUGUUUGAGCUAGACACAUAUAUAUUUUUGUUUAUUUAUAUCUAAGUCCAAUAUGUAAAUUUAAUAACCGUGAAUAUAAAUUAAUUUGAUAAUGAAGAAAAAAUUAUCGUGUGUGAUACAUCAUUUUACCUAAACCAUAUAUAUAAUUACAUUUCUUAAAAUUCGAUUUCUAAGAAUCAAAGCCCAGCUUUCCUCAGAAUGUAAAAAAUUCCAACAUAGCUUUAAAUUGGCUGCUUCAUUAAGGCUAAUUAAGGAUCUCAGGCCAAGACCACCUUCAGAAUAAGGCACGCAAACUUUUAAAACGUGAUUUUACCAACCAUGGGUAAAAAUGAAACUAUAGGGGGCUUGAGCGUAAUAUGAAGGGUCUAAAGAGGAAAAUUCAUGGAAAUCAGGCAUUGGGCCAAACAUAAUCGAUCCAAACUAAACAUAAACAAAACAUAAUUGAGAUGUUAAAUCUUUGAAAAUAAAUUUCUCAUCAUAUGUCUAAAUACCUUUUAUUUUACUAAAUAUAAAUACAUGUUAAUAAUAAUAAUAAUAAAAUAACUGAAGUCACUAGGUUUAAUCUAGUGGCGAGGGGUUUGAGUAGAAUGUUAUAGGUCCUCCCAGCUCAUUGUAAACAAAAAUAAUAAUAAUAAUAAUAAUAAUAAUAAUAAUAAUAAUAAUAAUAAUAAUAAUAAUAAUAAUAAUAAUAAUAAUAAUAAUAAUAAUAAUAAAAUAAUGAUUCAUUAAUUAAGAUGUACGUAACAUCUUAUCAAAUUAUGUUUCUCAAGACUAAUGAGUUGUGGUAGUUUGGUGACCAUAAUCUUUCUUGAUUUUUUUUUACGGUAUAAUCUUUCUUGAGUUGUAAAUUAUAAUUAUCCACUAUGUUAACUCAGGUCGGGUCUAAAAAAUAGAUAUACUCUAAUAAAUAUACACAUUUAGCGUUUCAUAGAUCUCAAAUAAGAUUAUUUUCGAUAGAGGGAGCCUAUGUAAAAAAAGAAGAAAGAAAAAUAUUUUAUCUUCUCAUUAUAAAAUAUUUUUCUAAUGUGAGAAAAAAAAUUAUGUACAAAGUUCUCCUUCGUUAAAACAUAAACGUUAAUCAACUUUUAGAGCAAACAACUUAUCUCAUUUCAUUCUAUAUAAAAUCAUACAUGUUGGAAUAUAGAUAAAAAUAUGAAAGGUAACAAAAUGUUUAUGUCCAUUAAAAUUGAUCUUGAAAAAGCAUAUGACCGCCUAAAUUGGAAUUUUGUUGAAAAAUGUCUGGAUGAUUGUAAGUUUCCUCUCAAUCUUAUUAAUAUUAUUAAUCAUUGUAUCACGUCCCCUUCUUAUAAAAUUUUAUGGAAUAAAAGUGUCACUUUCACUCCUUUUGUCGCCCUACCUGUUUGUUAUUUGUAUGAAACGUCUUUCUCAUAUAAUUUCUGACCAGAUGGAGGCUAACUAUUGGAAACCAAUGUGUGCGGGUAGACAGGGGCCCAAAAUUUCUCAUCUUCUCUUUGCUGACGAUCUUCUUCUUUUUGCAGAGGCAACUAUUGAACAAGCUCAUUGUAUUAUGCAUUGUCUGGACCUUUUUUGUGAGGCGUCAGGUCAAAAGAUUAACAGCCAAAAGACUCAAAUUUUCUUCUCUAAGAAUGUAGAUGAGCAACUCAAAAGUGAAAUUGUUCGGCAUACAGGUUACACGCCAGUUAUCAGUUUUGAUAAAUAUUUGGGAGCCAACAUCGCACCAGGGAGGACUACUAGAGGAAAAUUUAAAACAAAUUGAGUGGUUGGAAACAUCAGUGUCUUAUCCGGAACCUAUUUUUCACAGUUUUUCGCGUAGAUUCCGAUUCCGGAAUCCGUUAUAUAAGAUGAAGCUUGGUUUAUACAGUUCACUUAAAAAUUGCAUACUUUCUAUAUAUUUAAUAAGGUUCGUAUGCUUAAGUGAAUCAAAUUAAUUGUUAUUAUUAAAGACUUAGUUUGGGCAUACUUACAUGGUUUUGAACUGACGUUUAUAAGUAAAUUACCAUGUAUAUGUUUGUGUAUUAUUUGUCUUUAAUGNNNNNNNNNNNNNNNNNNNNNNNNNNNNNNNNNNNNNNCACUUUGAUGAUGAUGUAGAUAAAUGAUACUUGAGCAUUCCAAUCAUUCGUAUUGUAUGAUGAGCAGAUACUUUAGCUGCGGUUGAAAGUAUAGCAGAUAUUUUAGUGGUGGAUAAAAUAUAUGGAUUCAGUUGGUCCAAUAAAUGAUGAUGAAAUACUGCAUGCAUUAGUAAUGCUAGGGGCAUUGCAUAAAUGUGGCAUUAGUUGCAUUAGGUAAUAUGUGCACUUAUGUGAGAUGUUUGGUAUUUGACAUAAUUGAUCCGUGUACUUAUAACUAUUUGAAUAUUUAUAAAUCUUUGAUUCUAUGAUGACUAUGAUGGUAUGAAAAUAUUGGAGAAGUUAGAUAGAAAUAUUUAAUUGAGUAGUAUAUGUGUUGUCUAUUUAAGUGUAUAGUAUGCGUACUUUUGCACUUGUAUGAAUUUCAUAACUAACCCUCUGUUGUUUGUAAUUGCUGGACCUUUGGGGGUCCAGAGUUGCAGGUUGAGAACCUUGAGCCUCGUAUCUAGUUGCGCCGCUUUAUUGCUACCAGUUCUUUUGGUGAGAGGAUAGCUUUAGGCUACUUCUAUUUUGUUUAAUAUCUAGAUUAUCCGAGUCUUAGUCUAGAUGCUCUGAUACUUGUACCACCUUAGGAUUCAUCUUUUGUCGCUUAUGAUGUUCGAAUUUAUGUAUUGGAGCCUUAUGCCGAAAUUAUUUUGUUAUUCGGAUGACUGUAUUACUACUAUGACUGUGAUACUUAUGCAUGUUUGGAUUAGUCUGUUGAACUAAUGUCUUGGGAUAUUAUGAAUAUGCAUGAUUUCAAAGUAUUUAUUUUAUGAGAUAUGAACUUGCUCUUACUUUAUAGAUGAAUAGGACAAGUUUUAUAUGAUUCCGCUGCAAUAUUAAUAUAUGUUAAUUAUGCAUGUUAUGUGUUUUAAUAUUUUAAAUGUAAUACUCUAAUUAAUGCUAUGCAUUUGUAUCAUAUAUUUAAUUAGCGCGCGUAGUAUUAGUUAGGGUGUUACAAUAGUGGUAUCAUAGCAAGGUCGAUCCAUCUCGGAUCAAGUAGGCUUAGAACAUCUUCGUGUGUAACAAGUGUAGGAAACACUGUUCAUGCUUUCAGUUCUAAUGGUUGUUUGGAUGGUUGAUUGUAAGGAAGAUGUCUAAGAGGAUGAUUGUGGAUGCCUUGGCUAAUAUGGCCAAUGCCAUUGCACAGGAUGCAGACAACCGGACUGCGGAAAGAGUAGCACAAGAGAACCGAACAGGUAAUGAAGAUGAGUUAAGGCUCGAGAGAUUCUUGAAGAAUCAACCACCUACUUUUGCUGGAGGAUACGAUCCAGAGGGAUCUCAGAAGUGGUUAGAGGAUGUUGAGAGGAUCUUUAAGGUCAUGAGAUGCACUGAGGAACAGAACGUUAUUUUGGGUACUUAUAUGCUAAGAGAAGAAGCCGACCAUUGGUGGGAUAACGCAAGUCAGAGACUUGGAGUUGGAGGUGUUGUGGUUACUUGGGCAAUGUUCAAGAGGGAAUUUUUGAUCAAGUAUUUUCCAGCUGAUGUGAAGAAUAGAAAAGUGAUUGAGUUUAUAGAGUUGAAAUAAGGUAACAUGUUUGUUGCAGAGUAUGCCGUCAAGUUUCAAUCCUUGUGUAGGUUCGCACCACACUACAAUACUGUUGUGGCUGAGCAUGAUAAGUGUGUGAAGUUUGAGAGUGGUUUGAGGCCUGAGAUUAAGCAUUUGAUCGGAUUUUCUGAGAUUAGAGACUUUCCAACAUUGGUAAACAAGAGUCGUAUAUGUGAUGAAGAUGGAAGAGCUAGAGCGAACCACUACAAGAUGGCUAAUGAAAAGAAAGGCAAGGAUGGGAACCGUUGGAAACCUUAUGACAACAAGGGGAAAAGGAAAGGUGAAAGUAGUGGAAAGAAAACUACUGAGAAUUAUGAUAAGGAGAAAGUUAAGUGCUAUAGGUGUGGAGGAUUUGGUCACAAAUCUUUUGAGUGCAAGAAAAAUGCUGUAUGCUUUAACUGCAAUGAAGAAGGUCACAAGAGCCCGAAAUGUAAGAAGCCUAAGAAGAAUGGUGGAAAUGUCUUUGCUUUGGAUGGUGGUGACGCGAAUGUAACAGAUAACCUUAUCAGAGGUACGUGUUUCAUUCAUGAUACUCCUUUAUGUGCCAUCAUUGAUACUGGAGCUACACAUUCCUUUAUUUCUAUUUGGUGUGUGAAGCGUCUUAAUCUAGAAACUACUGUUAUGUCGAAAUGCAUGGUAAUAGAAACGCCGGCUAGUGAUUCGGUUAUGACUAAGCUUGUAUGUGUUAAUUGUCCGGUAACUAUUUUCGGUAGACAUUUUGGUAUGGACCUUGUAUGUAUUCCUUUGAGUAACGUGGACGUGAUUUUUGGUAUGAAUUGGCUUGAGUUUAAUCGAGUUCAUAUUAACUGUUGUACUAAGACAGUAAUUUUCCCUAAACCGGAUGAGAGUCCGAAACCAAACCUUAUGGGUAGUAGUGAAGUGAUUAGAUCCUCGAAGGAGCACGCAGAAAUGUUUGUCAUGAUUGUCUCACUGAAGCUAGUAGGGCAGUCAGAAGUGAGUCAAUUACCUGUUGUUUGUGAUUUUCCGAAUGUUUUUCCUGAAGAUGUAUCAGAUUUACCACCUGAGAGGGAGGUUGAGUUUAGUAUUGAAGUAGUGCCUGGUACUAGUCCGAUAUCUAUGGCGCCGUAUAGAAUGCCAGCAUCAGAGUUAGAGCAAUUAAAGAAACAGUUGGAGGAGCUUUUGGAAAAGAAAUUUAUUAGACCUAGUGUAUCACCUUGGGGUGCACCGGUACUUUUGGUAAAGAAGAAGGAUGGAAGCAUGAGGCUAUGCAUAGAUUAUCGACAGUUGAACAAAGUGACAAUCAAAAAUAAGUAUCAAUUGGUAGUGGGAACAGAUUGAACACGUAUUUGAACCCCAGGGUACGUGGUUCGAUUCCCACGGAAGGCAAAAACUCCACUAGAGAGGGGGGGUGGAGAAGAUCGUGAGGUGACAGCCGGGAUUGCCUACUAAAUACGUAGAAAAGGGGCCCGGGCUGUUACACAAAGUUCUUUACAGCAAAUAUGGUAGAAACAACGAUCUUCGAGUGUCUAUGAACAAACAACCCUAUGAUUCUCCUUUUAUGGAAUGCCUUGGUUAGUAUUGGGGAUCAAUUCCGGAGUCACACAGUUUUGCAAGUAGGAAAUGGGCAAAAAAUAAAUUUUUGGCUUGAUAAAUGGAUGUCGUGUGGACACACUCUUAUGAAUCUUUCUACUCAACAUACUAUCGAUACAAUGAUUAUUGUGAAGGAUAUUCUAACAGAGACAAGAGAUUGGGAUAUAAAUUUCCUCACCAUGCAUCUCCCUCAUACCAUUGUAAACUAGUUGGUGACUUUACCGGCUCCGAAGGAUACAGAUGGUCCGGACUUGUUAGGUUGGAGCGGCACAAGCACUCGUCAAUUUACUGUGCGAAGCGCCUAUGACCUACAACGAGGAAAUAACCUCUCCAUUAAGGGAAAUUGGAAAAUUUUAUGGAGUUGGAAUGGACCUCACUGAAUCCAAACCUUUAUGUGGAUUGCUACCCAUGAACGCCUCUUAACAAACUACCGAAGAAGCAGAUGGUGGAAUGGGAAUUCACCCACUUAUCCUGCUUGUGGGCAGGAAGAUGAGACAAUUCUUCAUGUUACUAGUGGCUUCUAUUCAUAUUACUAACUUCUAUUCUUUGACUUGCAGGGACUGGAUCUUUGAUAAUAUAUCAGGAGCACACAAUAAGGAUUGACACACUAUUUUCAUGGUAACAUGCUGAUAUGUGGAGAAACAAGAGUAUAUUUGAGGAGACUUUUCGCCGUCCCAACAACCCAACUCCUGUCAUUCUUAGGAAGACAACAGAGAUUGAUAGAUGCAUGCAAACUCACUUGAAUGGAGGGACUCGGCAAAAAUAUACUAUUUUUAUUGGGUAGAUCGAACCUCAAGAAGGAUGGAUUAAACUCAAUUGUGACGGCACUCACAAAAGUUCAACUAAUAUGUCGGGAUGUGGAGGUCUUCUCUGAGACUGUUAUGGUAACUAUUUAAGCAGUUUUGCUCGUAAAAUUGGCUCAUGCGACACACUUCAUGCUGAAAUGUGGGGCAUGUACAUCAGAAUAGACUUGGCGCGGAGACAAGGAAUUACUCAUCUUCAAGUGAAAGUGAUUCGAAGGUGUUGGUCGACAUGGUAACAGAAAAAUGCAAUGUUAACGGAAAUAUCCCUACUUUGAUCAAGCGUAUUCAUGAUCUCAAGAACAUGAAUUGGCAGGUCCAUUUUAACCAUACAUGGCGGGAAGAAAACAGAUCAGCUAACUGGUUAGCUAAUUUCAGUCUAACAUUGAACUCUUAUGAGUUGCAGGUUCUAGAAUCUCCUCCAAGAAAGCUUAAAAGUCUCAUUUUUUAUGAUAGUCCCGGUGCUUGCAUGUCUCGGAGUGUCUUUGUAGUUUCUUAGUUUUUUUCCUGGACUUUGCCCUCUUUAUGUACCAACAAAAAAAAAUCCGAAAACUAGCUAAAGAUAGAGCCACUCUAUCAAGACUAUGAGCAAUUUUACUGAUUUAUCUCCUAAUAAACUUAACGGGAGUUCACAAGAAUAGUAGUUAACAAAUGUCUAUAAUCAUUAAUAAUAGCGUUGAAAUCAGGUCAUAAGUUUUGUUACCGUAACGACAAUUCACCUCCUGUUUGCAAUCUAUUUCAAAAUCCAUAUUAAGCAAUAGACUCAAAGACUGCAGUCAACAACCUCAUAGCUUCGCCUACUUCAACAUAUAUAGGCUUAGGCACGAUCCACUCAGUGGCGGAUCCCAAAAUUUGUACUAGUGAGGACUAGAAAAUAGUGUAUAUGUUUUUACUAAAAAAAAUAUUACAGACAUUUUAAAAAUAAACAACAAUAGUGAAAAAAAACUUAAAAUAUAGAAAAGCCUAUAUAAAUUACAAUGGAUCUCUACAAAAUUUUAUAUUAUAAAAAUGUUCGAUGAUAUCUAUACUGCCAACAUUAUAAAAUUUGUCACUUUUUAUAUAUGUAAAUAAACGAUUAUUCAAGUAAAAUAAAAGUAAGAGAAAAAGACAACAAAUAGUUGAAAGAAAAGAAUAUGAUACUUCGAUGAAUUAAGAGAGAAGAAGAGUAAAGUUAUGAGAGGAAGUUUGUGGAAAUUUAAAAAUUAAGUAGUGGAAAGUUGAUAAAUAAAAUGAUAAAUUUAUGACGAGAGAAUAAUAGACCUAACAAUGGGGGUUUAAGAAAAUAUUAUACUAAUAUUAAAAGAAAAUUAUUUUUUUGGUGGGGGCUUGAGCCCCCAAUACCUUAUGCUCUCAAACAAACCGACUUAAAUUAUCCCUUAUACAAAUACCAAUCCAACUUUAUUGUUAUGUAAAAAAAAUAUUUCAUGUAUGAUAUUUCUAUUUUUAUAUGAAAUAAAAAAACAUAAACUAAAAUAUGUGUAAAAAGCAAUACUCAUAAGAUAGAAAUAAUUUAUGUUUAAAUAUCACAUUAGUCCCUGUAUGUUUCUGGUUUUUUGGUUUUAGUUCCUGUAUGUUUUUUUUUUUAAAAUAGUUCCUGCAUGUUCAAUUCCUUUUGGUUUUCGUCCUUCCCCUAUAAAAAAUACUGAUGUGGCUAACAGCAUGACAUGUAGCAUGCUGACGUGACAAAUGAAGGACUAAAAUAAAAAAAGUUAUUAUUGAUGGACCAAAACUAAAAAAUAAAGUUUAAAAUCCCUAAAAUUAAAAAAAAAAUGUUUUUAGUUUAACGUUUUUUAAUUUUAAAAAUAAAUAAAUAAACAAUUUUUUUUAUGCAAGACAAGUUGAGUGCAGCUUUGCACUCAGACAAGUUAUAUUAUUAACAAUUUUUUAGUGCCUUAAUGGUCACUUGUUAUUAAUUAGUUUGUGCAAUAUUAAGUCUCCGUUUGAAUUAGCUUAUUUUUGAGCUUAUUCAAACAACUUAUACAAUAUAAAUUAAGUUUUAUGCUAUUUUAUAAGUUCACACUAAUGAAAAUUGUAUUUUAUAAGCUAUUUUAUCAUAAACUACCUUGACAAACUUAUAAUACUCCCUAUUGGUGAAUUAAAAUAAAGGUAUAAUAGGAAAAUCAGGUGCAAAAAUACACUUUCUUAAUAUUAUUUUUUUUCUAAAAUGUCAAGUAAUUUGAAACGAAUGGGGUAAUACAUAAAAAUUGCAUAAACUGUUUGUAUAAACUCAAAAAUAAGCUAAUUCAAAUGGGGCCUAAGUUGAUGUGCAAUUUUAAGCACACUGUCAUUAUAGCCAGAUUUUUUAGCAUGUCCUAAACCAAUUUUAGUACACCAUGAACAAGUUUUUACACUGCUUAUGAAUUUUAAAUUUUAACACUCUUAUAUAUAUAUAUAUUAAAUUUUGUUUUUUAUUUGAAAAAAAUUGGUUUUUUUAAAAGUAAAAAAUUAUUUUUAAAAAAAAAAUAUUUUAGGAAUUUUGUUUUUUUGGUUUUGGUCCUUCAUUAAAUUUUUUUUUGGUUUUGGUCCUUCAUUUGUCACAUCAGCAUGUCAUAUGUCAUGCCGUUAGCCACAUCAGCAUUUUUGAGAAGGGAGAGACGAAAACCAAAAUGAAUUGGACAUUCAGGAAAUGUUUUUUUAAAAAAAAAACAUAGAGGGACUAAAACCAAAAAAACGAAAACAUACAUGGACCAAUGUGAUAUUUAAACCAAUAAUUUAAUUAUUUCAGAAAAUAUGAAACCAGCCUUUUUCAUUUGUACUUGAUUAAAAUAAAUAUAAAUUUCUUUUUUUUAAUGGAAAAAUAUAUAAAUAAAUUUUUAAAAUAAUGCAAUAAUCAGAAAAUAAAUUUGUUUAGUGGGGGUAUUAUUUUUUUUUCUUCCUGGUACAUGGGGGUACUCUACUCCAUGCACUGUAGGAUUAUAUUUAAAUACUAAUAUUAGUACAAAUAAUUGUUCUAGGGGUCUACAAUUAUUUCUUUUUAAGGCGUCUUGUUGGAUUUAUUGAUCACAAGUGGUUGGGAAAAAAACAAAUCCAAUCGAAUAACAUCUGUGCGGGACAGGGUAUCCCCGCACCUAAACAUAUAACUAUGUCCUACAAUCUUGUUUUUCUCGACAAAAAUAUACAAUGGCCUACAAUCUUGACAAGCAUUCAAUUCAAUAUAGACUAAAAUAAAAUUAUAAAUAUAUUAUUGAAAAGGCUUAAUACCUAGGGUUUGAGUUUAACAGCAUAGAUUUUCUUCAUCGAAAAAAAAAUCCAUUAUUCCCUCCAUAUAUAUUUAAUCUUGGUCUUUAAAUUUUUAUUUUUCAAAAUUUUAGUCCUUUUAAAAAAUUAAGGUACAAUUAAUGAUAUUUUAUCAUUUGUAGCCUUGCAAAACUUAAAUGCAUUUAUUAAAUGUAUUUUAUUUUGUUCACAAGUCCUAGUUCAAUUGACAAAAAAUAUCGAAUUAGUUCUCUCACUUGUGCGUGAGUUUAUGAUAGUUUUGUUAUUUCGUCUUUGUAAAAAAAAUGCAUUUUAUUCUUUUUUAAUAAGUUAAGUGUAAAAAAAACUUAAUUUAGCCAAAUUCAUUAUUUUUUUCAUUCAUAUGUCUAAUUCUAAAAAAACAGGAGCGGAGAGAGUACUAAUUACUUUUGUCGGCAAAAAUAAGUAUUAAAUGUUUAUAUAAAUAUUUAUAUAAAUGUUUAUGUAAAUGACUACGUACGUAUGAAUUUUUGGGCAUGUCAAUACUCAAUAUUCUUAUCUGUAAAAGAGAAAGUGUAUUUGUUAAGCAUGUUAAAAUAGAAAUUCUGUCUCGAAAUGCGUGCAUUCAAUGCCUUAAAAGUACAAAAAGUUGUCUUUUCAAUAUAAAUUUUAUUUUUUAUUUCCUUUUUAGGUAUGCUUAACAAGUGCCCCGGGGCACUGUUUAGCAUGACUCUUAUUAUAUUGAUCAGUUUAUACUUUAUAAUAUAUUAUAGUAGUAGUAGAGUAGUAAACAAUAGUUUAAUAAGAAAAUAUUUAAGAGUCUCAUUACAUAUAAGACAAAUGAUUCCGGUAUACUAAUACUUUUACUUUAUUUUUACACGAUAAAUUAUGUUUUUGUAAUUGGUUUCUUAUAUAUGUUCCAUAUCAACUAAAAAUAUAUCUAGUCAUGCCUUGGCAUCGAAUAUGAGUAUGAUUUAAUUACCUAAACCAUAUAUAUAAUUACAUUGUAAAGUUUUCUUUAAUUACCUUUACAGAACAAGAGUGCAAAAUAAAAAUACAAAAAAGUGAGGUGAUGAUGAUGACGAAGGAUGUGAAGGAAUAUCCUAUUGGAACAUAUUUUCUGUCAUCAUGAAGUAAGAAUACCAAGUUGAUGAAAAAUUCCAAAAGCUAGAAAACUUGACCAUAAAAAACAAAAAAGCUAAUAAGUCAAGCUCAAUAGUUGCUCCAGAUAUUCAGCACCCAAAUCCUCAAACUCAAACACAUUUUGGGAAUUUGUACUAUUGGUUUUGGUCUCUACUUGAAUCUGAAUUUGCUCACUUUGAUAAUCACUUUUGAUUUUCUUAUUUUUACUAACCUUAUUGGACUUUUUUCUCAUGAUGUGUUUUCUCUUGAGUGCCAAUACAGGUGAAGUACCUUCUUCCAAAGGCUUACAAUUUCUAGCCAUGUCUUUAAGUGAUUCUCUAACCACUUCCUCAGGAAAAUUUAACACUGCUAAUGAACCUCUCGUUGAAAAAGCCGCUUGGUCAUAAGCUAAAGCGGCUGCUUCAGCCGUGUCAAAUGUUCCAAUCCAUACUCUAACCCCUUUUCUUGUUGAGUCUCUUAUCUCGGCCGCAAAUUUUCCCCAUGGCCUACUUCUGACUCCUCUAAAUGCCCUUUUGUUACUUUCCUUACUCGGAAGUGGUGGAGGUGAUGAUGACGAUGUUUGUGUCUCUUUGAUUUGUUUAUAAGUUGUAUUCGAUGAGACUUCUAAUAAUUCAUUGCUUAGUACGGAUCCAUAAGAGUUGGAUUCGCCCGAUGAUAAUGAUAAUGAUUCUUUGGUUUGUGAUUGUGAGUCGUUGUUGAAGUUGAUGUCAUCAUUGAAGAAAUUAACGAAAUCUUCUAAUUCCCAAGAGAAAUUAGAGAAGGAAUUUUGAGGGAAGCAUAGAAGGUUUUGAUUUUGGUUUUGGAGGAGAGGAGAAUCAAAAUUCA